rnacentral:lncRNA from 1 species
UUUUUUGUAUUUUUAGUAAAGAUGGGGUUUCACCGUGUUGGCCAGGCUGGUCUCGAUCUCCUGACCUGGUGAUCCGCCCGCCUUGGCCUCCCAAAGUGCCGGCAAUACAGGUUUAAGCCACCGCGCCCGGCCGAGUGUGGGCUUUCAAGUCCAACGUUGAGGUUCAAAUUCUGCCUCCCCACCUGCCAACUCCAAAAGUUAAACUUUCUGUGCCUCAGUGUUCUUAUCUGUAGAAUGGGGAUAAUGAUGAAAACAGCAUCUAGGAGGAAAGGCUGAAAUCUACUCGAGGUACGACGGUAACGGUUCCUAUUUCUAGCCCGAGACACUAGACGCUAGCCAGGGACGCUGUCGACGGGCGCUGCAGAGCCGCGGGAGGGCCCCGUUUAUUCCCCCAAAACCGCAGCCCGGAAAGCGCACCCGCCCCGGCGCGUCCCGCCCGCGUCCCAGCCCGACCCCUGGUUUCCUGCCCCGUCCGGGCCUGGGCCCCGCUUAGGCCGCCCCCGAGCGGGCGUCUCCCUGCGGCUCCAGGGAGCGGAAAGGGUUGGGCCGGUGGGAGGAGCCCAAGGCCGGUGACGACGGACGCCACGGGUCGAAGGGGCCGAAGAACUCGGCGGCGAAGGUGACCACGUCCUCCGGCUGGCGCAGCAGCAGGAAGAGCAGGAAGUCGGAGAUGAGCGCGUGGGCUUCGGGGUGCUGCCGCAGAUAGCUGGCGUGGCCGAGCCGGAGUUCCUCCUGGCAGGGGACAGAGCCCGAGCCUCAGCCGGACGGGACCCCCGCGCCCCAGGAGCCCCCACCCACUCGCUCCAAGGAGAGCUAAGGGGCGCUGGAGCCUUCUAGCCCCUACGGGUGUGCAUUUCAAUCAAUAGGCAUCUUGGUGAUGAUGCAGCACCCUGGGGAGCCCACCUGUAUUCUCUUGGCCAGGUGCCUGGAGUGCAACACAACAUGUGAGAGUGAGAAUCUUCCCAGACCGCCUGCUAUGGACUGAAUUGUCUCUCUAACCCCCAGUGUGAUGGUAUUUGGAGCACGGAAGAAAGGCCAUGUGAGGACACAUUGAGAAGGCACUUGUCUGCAAGCUAGGAAGACAGCCCUCACCAGAAACCAACCCUGAUGGCACCAUGAUCUUGGACUUCCUGCCUUCCAGCAAAUAUAUUUCUCUUGAAGCCA